GCCCAGACUCCUACGGGAGGCAGCAGUGGGGAAUAUUGCACAAUGGGCGAAAGCCUGAUGCAGCAACGCCGCGUGAAGGAAGAAGGGUUUCGGCUCGUAAACUUCUAUCAACAGGGACGAAAGAAAUGACGGUACCUGAAUAAGAAGCCCCGGCUAACUACGUGCCAGCAGCCGCGGUAAUACGUAGGGGGCAAGCGUUGUCCGGAAUUACUGGGUGUAAGGGGAGCGUAGGCGGGAAAGCAAGUUGAAUGUUUAAGGUACGGGCUCAACCUGUACAAGCGUUCAAAACUGUUUUUCUUGAGUGGAGUAGAGGUAAGCGGAAUUCCUAGUGUAGCGGUGAAAUGCGUAAAUAUUAGGAGGAACACCAGUGGCGAAGGCGGCGUACUGGGCGUUAACUGACGCUGAGGCUCGAAAGCGUGGGUAGCAAACAGGAUUAGAUACCCUAGUAGAA
rnacentral:rRNA from 1 species